UCAGAACAAUUUCAUAGGAUCUAAUUAGCUUGAGAAAAACGUUCACUCUUACUUAUACGAAGCUUGGAUAAGGUUGUGAAUAAAUAAAUGGAGCUUGAAAUUGAGGACGUUGGAA